UUUUUUUUUUUUUUUUUUUUUUUUUUUUUUUCUUC
rnacentral:ribozyme from 1 species